CUCAGCACCCUCUAUUAGGUAUGACAAAUGCAAAACAUAUAACCUCAAUAUGCAAUAUAUAUAUAUAUCCUCAAUAGUCACCGCUGCUGUGCAAGAGGGUUGGCUGCAGGUCUAUGACAAACAAAUGAACAGAAGGUGGCAGUAACUAAUAGGAGUGCCAAAAGUAGGAAAUGAUGGAAGACCUGGGGAAUGGGAAAGAAAGAAGCUGGGUAUUCAUUUGCACUGAAGUCGUACAGCAAAGCGUGCCUGGUUUUGAAUCUCUGAUCUUCAUUUUGACAGAACAGAGGAAGAUGCAUGUGUCUGAGGAGCUGUGUGUUAUAUGCCAGGGCAAAAAUAGUAGAAGAAACAAAGGUAUCAAAACAACACAGCCUAAAUCCUCUUCAAGGCUCUUUUAGACCAGAAGCAAUACAGAAGAGGGUAAAAAAAAAAAAACAACAAAACAAGAAGAAAAGAAAGAGACUGGAGAAAACUGAUUUUCCAUUACCCACCAGAUCAGUGGCUGAUCCAAAAAAGAAAUCCAAGCCAUUUAGUUCCUAAUGUAUUGCUUCACUCAAUAGACUAGGUUGUCACCAUGAGAUAGUCUGUAUUUUCUGCUCCAAGAGAAGAAAGUAGAAGUUACUUUGCUAAGACAAUAUCUGCCCAUGAAAAUUGUGCGCAACAUCUUACCAAGCACCUGUUUCUCAUUACUCUAUAGCCAAUGUAUGGCAACCAAAUUUAUCAAGAUCCAGCCAGAAGAUACUCAAACGGAGGUUUCUGAUUUAAUGUGAGGUUGAAGGGGUUGCCCACUUUCAACAGUCUUGCUUUCCAUAGUGAAAGGUUACUUGGUAGAUUGAUUUUAGCAGUAAAAGAUUACCUGGAGAUUGUUCCAGGACUGCAAUGGCAUCCUUAACAGCAUUCAUAAGAACACACUUGAGCCUCCUUCCUAAGAGAUUUAAUUCCUUAAAAUAUUUACUUCUAAAUUUGGAUCAAGGGGGAGAACAAAUUUAAGCACCAGAGUCACAAGCUCAUGAAAUAUUAUUCUCAAUGGAAGAAUAAAAUCAUGUCAGAUCACUAAAUUUCAGAAACAUUUUACCCUUUCUUGAGGUUUCAUUUCUGAGAUACAAGUUCUAUACAAAUUCCGA